CUUGCCAUACCCCCACCCACCUACAAAUAUAGAUAGAUAGAUAUAGAGAGAGAGAGAGACAGUUCAUCUUCUCUCUUCUCUUUUAAAGAAACCCUAUUUAGGGUUGCAGAAUAUGCAGAGGCUGGCCCUUGUCAUACUUUUCCACAGCUUUCUUGAACUGCAUAUAAUUGUAUGGACAAAACCCAUUUGCAGUUCAAUUAAGCUGUGGGAAGAUAUGGAGAGAGUCAUAUGGGAAUUCAUUUUCAGGAUCAGAUUCACUAUAGCAUGAACAUUUCCGAACGUGGACCAGCACCACCGGCUAAGUGUAUCGAUCCAAUAGGGAAAAUAUAAGAUUUGUGCUUUUGGCUCCAAAGAUUUAAGGAUGGUGCUACAUCAGAGUCCAUGACGGUGUCCAUCCCCCUCACAUGGAGAGGGAUCAACUUCCAAUAAAAUAUAGGAGUAAUUUAUUCAAAGUGGGUCCCUCUCCAUGUGAGGGGGUGGACACCAUAUUAUGUACAAGUAAUGUAUUCCAAGAUUUAAAGAUACAUGAAAAGAUAAUAUAAAUU